GGAGAAGACCCUGAGCCUCCACGACGGCACGGAGCCCAGCUGACAGCUUGAUUUCAGCCCGGGGAGACCCUGAGCAGAGAAGCCAGCUGUGCUGUGCCUGGCCUUCUGAUUGAUAGACACUCUAAGGUCCAGAAGCUACUUCCUAUUUUUCUCUUGAGGGAUGGCAAUAGCUUGUACAAACGCCUGGGGGUGUGCAUGUGUGUCAGAUGCGAGCUGGGUGUGCCUCACUACGACGUCUCCCCUGGUCGUGCUCGGAUCGUGCUCCGGUCCCCUGAUCACGGCUGAUUCGUUAGUGUUGACAGACACCUGACUGCAGGCUGACAAGUCUCUCCUGGGGAUGUGAAACUUGAAUGGAGGGCACGCAGGCAGGGGGCGGUGGGAAAUGCGCCACCCCUAGCCAGUGCCCUAGAGAGGACAGCCACGGGCUCUGCCACUGAACCCCCUGGACAUUCCCGAGGAGUCCUCAUGUCUGGGGCAUGCUCUUCUGCCAUCCUGGGAACAGCUCUCCAUAAAUCCACCACUGGGCAACUUGCUUCUCUUGCAGCUACUGGUGGCCAAUGAAUGGAAGUUGUUAGGUGAGGAUUCUGGGAAAUAUCUUUAGAAGACACUGAUGCAGCUGGGAGGAAAGCCAAUUUGCCCUUCCUUCUCCUUCUUCCUACAUGGGACUCAGGCAUUAUGGCUGGAGCCCCAGCAGCCAUCUUGGAUCAAGAAGUGACCUUGACGAUGAAGCCGUAUAGUAAGGAUGAAGCAACACAAAGCUAGAAGGAACCUAUGAUGUUGAUGACACUGUGAACCAGCCCUGACCGGGACUGAUCUUUCCAGACUUCUUUUUUCAAAUGAACUUUUUAUUUUAGAACAGUUUUGGAUUUACAGAAUUGUUGCAAAUGUAGUGUGGAGUUCCUAUAUACCCUAUACCCAGUUUCCCCUAUUAUUAAUAUUUUACAUUAGUAUGGUACAUUUAUCACAAUUAAUGAA